rnacentral:rRNA from 1 species
AGGACGAACGCUGGCGGCGUGCUUAACACAUGCAAGUCGAGCGGAAAGGCCCUUCGGGGUACUCGAGCGGCGAACGGGUGAGUAACACGUGAGCAACCUGCCCUUAGCUUCGGGAUAGCUCCGGGAAACCGGAAUUAAUACCGAAUAUGACUGCGGCUGACAUCAGCCACAGUGGAAAGUUUUUCGGCUAGGGAUGGACUCGCGGCCUAUCAGCUAGUUGGUGAGGUAACGGCCCACCAAGGCGACGACGGGUA